UUUUUUAUAAAAAUAAUUUAUUUAUUUAAUGUUUUAGUAUUUAGUAAAAAUUAAUUUUUAGAUUUAUAGUUUAAUAGUAUUGUAAAAGAAAUUGUUAAAUUUUAUAAAGAAUUUUAUAGUACCUUUUGUAUCAGGGUUGAUUAAAAUUUUUAAUUUUUUUUUUAAUUUCUCAAAAUUUAUAGAGUUAAUUUUAUUAUUAAUUUAUUGUGGUAAAAAUAUUUAUAAAAUAAUAUUAGUUUUGAAAUUUAAUUCGUUAUAUUAUAUUUAGUUAUUUAAGAUUUAAAUUUAAUUUAAAAUUUUAAAAGUUGUAUUAAUUUUAUUGAUUAAUAUUUUAAAUUUAAAUUAUUUUAGGGAUAAGCUUGAAAUUUUAAUAUAAUAAUUUAUUUAUUUUAAUAAUUUAUAGGAAUAGAAAUUUUUAUUUAAGUUUGUAAAAAUUUAUUAUUUAUUUAAUUUUAAUUUAUUAUAUUUAUAUUUAUUUUUAAUAUUAAAUUUUAUUAAUUAAUAUUUAAUUAAUAGUAAUAAUGAUUAAAUUAGUAUAAUAUAUAAAUUUAUAAAUUAUGAAUUCGGCAAAAAUUAUUUUCAUCUGUUUAACAAAAACAUUGUAUUAAGUUUAAUUUAAUAUAGGAUCUGCUCAAUGAUUUAUUAAAUAGCUGCAGUAUUUUGACUGUGCAAAGGUAGCAUAAUAAUUAGUCUUUUAAUUGAGGACUUGAAUGAAAGAUUUGAUGAGAAAUAGACUUUAUUAUUUAUAAAAUUAAAAUUUUAUUUUUAAGUAAAAAAGCUUAAAUUAUUUAAAGGGACGAUAAGACCCUAUAAAACUUUAUAAAUUUUGAUUUUAAUUUUUUUGGAUUUAUAAAUAUUUUAUAAUUAAAAUUUAUUUUAUUGGGGUGAUAAAAAAAAUUAUUAAACUUUUUUUAAAAUUUAACAUUAUUUAAUGAUUAGUUGAAUUAAAAUUUUUAAUUAAAGGAAAAAGUUACUUUAGGGAUAACAGCGUAAUUAAUUUUUUAAGUUCAAAUUUAAAAAUUAGUUUGCGACCUCGAUGUUGAAUUAAGAUUAAUCUUAGGUGCAAAAUUUUAAGUAUUAGGUCUGUUCGACCUUUAAA
rnacentral:rRNA from 1 species